rnacentral:miRNA from 1 species
CAUCAAGUUUGGUGUUUAUGACGUCGAUAUUCGACGUCAUAAACAGGAGCAAGUUUGGUGUUUAUGACGUCGAAUAUCGACGUCAUAAACACCAUCA